rnacentral:misc_RNA from 1 species
CCCUCCCCCCUCCACUCCUCCGGGCCGGCUCAGGCUCGAAGCCCACGCGACCGUGGCCGACCCUUCGGAACAGCACGGCGCGCGUCUCGAACCCGAGGCAACCCGCAAAAUGGCUAAGUCAACGAGUGCUGGCAUCCUGAGGCGCCCCGCGGGGCAAAAACGGCGGUUCGCCCAGGCGUCCACGCCGAAAGACAGCGGUCCGCCCACGGGGUCCCUGGACAGCCCGAGUCCCCGGGAAAGCCGGCUGCUGCCCAUGCGCCCGGGGCAGAAACAGCGGUUCGGCAAGGCGUCCAGGGGCAAAGACACCGGUCCGCCCAAGCGUCCGCGCCAUCCAGGCCACGAAUACGCCGAGUCCCCUGGACGACGGCCGGACGGCGACCUUGCUGCCGAAACAGCAGUUCGCCCAGGCGUCCGUGCUCAGAAACAGCAGUUCGCCCAGGCGUCCCUGCCGAAAAACAGGGGUCCGCCCAGGCGCCCGUGGACAGCCCAAGUCCACGGGUCCUUAGGUGCCCGCGCGGCCGAAACAGCGGUUCACCCUGGCGUCCCUGAUCAGAAACAGCGGUUCGCCCAGGCGUCCAGGCCAAAAAACAGGGGUCCGCCCAGGCGCCCAUGGACAGCCCCAGUCCACGGGUCCUUAGGUGCCCGCGCUGCCGAAACAGCGGUUCGCCCAGGCGUCCCUGCUCAGAAACAGGGGUUCGCCCAGGCGUCCCUGCCGAAAAACAGGGGUCCGCCCAGGCACCCGUGGACAACCCAAGUCCCCGGGCCGACGAUGCCCGCGGGGCAGAAACAGCGGUUCGCCCUGGCGUCCACGCCGAAAAACAGCGGUUCGCCCAGGCGCCCGUGGACAGCCCAAGUCCACGGGUCCUUAGGUGCCCGCGGGGCAGAAACAGCGGUUCGCCCUGGCGUCCCUGCUGAGAAACAGCGGUUCGCCCAGGCGUCCACGCCGAGAAACAGCGGUUCGCCCACACGGUCCGUGGACAGCCGCGCGUGGGCGACAGGGCGUGCACACGACUCAAGUGCCACCGCACCAUACACCACAGGGGCUAAGCACGUACCUACGGACGGCGGCAAAGGGUGGAUCCAUCGGUCGGUUGGUUCGAUGCCCUUGUGUGCAUGCAUGGCUGGAUGGAUGGCGAGGAACGGCUGCUACUCCCAGCGCGCGUGCCUCACGACACGUGGAAACGGGUCACGGGAGAAGGAUAACGUCUCACGCGAUGCGAAAACGGCUCACGGCGGGCUGAGAACGGGCCACGGGAGGCGAAAACGGCUCACACGCGGGCGGAAACGGGUAACGGGACGCGAAAACGGGUCGCGCCGGGCCCCAAAACAGCAGGUGAAAACGGCUAAGUCGGUCCGGACAUGGGGCACGGAGGAACGGGUGAAAACGAGCCAAAAACGGGCGAAAACGGGCAAAAAACGGGCCAAAACGGGCCACGAACGGGCCAAAACGGGCCACGAACGGGCCGCGGGACCCGGCUCCACCGGGGUGGCCCACGGGCCCCGGGGGACCCACCCAUGAGGCCCCCACAUGAAAAGUCCAAGGUUCGGUCCAUCCGUGAAAACAGCGACUCCCGGGCGCCACCUCGGCCGAACGCAGCGUUUCUGAGCAAAAACCUGGCAAAACUGCAUAUCACAUGGAUUUCCUGAGGUCCUCCAAAACGUGUAUGGUUCUGUGAAGGAAAACUCCCAGAACUUCUGGGAGGGGGGGAUGCCCCUCGGGUAUAGUAGGGGGUGAGGGGUUCGCGUGGCUGAGACCUGGGUAAACUGCUGCGAAACCACUAGUUUUUCGAGCGUUUUCACCAGGACUGCUCCACCGGACCUCGGCCACCCCCGCGGCCUCCAUGGCCGGCCGGCAGCCUACCGCGUCCAGCUUCGGCUGGCCACGGCUGGCUGUCUGGCGGCCAUGGCUGGUCAGCAUGCGGCCAUGGGCGGCCAUGGCUGGCUUCGGCCGGCCGGACGCCUCGCUCCAUGGCCGCAUGCUUCUGGCCCGCUGUGGGAUAAGUUUCGGUGACUCGCGGCCUCCGUGGCCGGCCGGCAGCCUACCGCGGCCAGCUUCGGCUGGCCGCAGCCGGCUGUCUGGCCGCCAUGGCUGGCCAGCGUGCGGCCAUGAGUGGCCAUGGCUGGCUUCAGCCGGCCGGACGCCUCGCUCUGUGGCCGCAUGCUUCUGGCCCGCUGUUGGAUAAGUUUCGGUGACUCGCGGCCACUCGUGGCCGGCCGGCAGCCUACCGCGGCCAGCUUCGGCUGGCCGCUGCUGGCUGUCUGGCCGCCAUGGCUGGCCAGCGUGCGGCCACGAGUGGCCAUGGCUGGCUUCGGCCGGCCGGACGCCUCGCUCGGUGGCCGCAUGCUUCCGGCCCGCUGUUGGAUAAGUUUCGGUGACUCGCGGCCUCCCAGGCCGGCCGUCAGCCUAACGUGGCCAGCUUCGGCGGGCUGCUGAUGGCUGCCAGCCGCCGUGGGUGGCCAGCGUGCGGCCAUGACCGGCUAUGGCUGGCUAUCGCUGGCUGGACACCUUGCACGAGUGGCCGCACGCUUCUGGCCCGUUUGUUGGAUAAGUCUCGGUUGCUUCCGCGCUCUGUGGACCUUCGGUUGCCGUCCUCGCAAGCAGACUCACCGUGCCUAGCGCGGAGAGAUGCUUUGGAUGGCUUAACCGUCGUGGCUACGCUGGCGCAUGAGUUGUGUUGGACCUGUGACUGCUUGGAGGACCCCCGCCGAUGUGCGGCCGACUCCCGGCGCCAGCGUCCCUUCAUUCGUGCGGGCACCUUUUGCCUGCUGCAUUGACAAGUGCUUGCGUGCUGCUACCCGUCCCGCGGGAAGUUGCAUUCGUUACAUGCUGCCUUCGUCGAGCGCACCCUCUGGGUGUUCCUCGUCGGCUCCAGAGCGCUCGUGCGUUGCCUCGUGCUGCAGUCCGCCUAGGCCGGCAACACCAAGGACACCUCGCUUGUGCUUUUGGUCGCGGAUGCGGCUGACGUUGAAGGCCGUAGGGGCGUUGGCCUCCCGUGCCUAAAAACUCAGUCCGUUUGGAAACAACGACAGCUAGCCCGGCCGAUGCCUCGUGCGGAGGCCGGCGCCGGCUCGUCGGUGAGGACGUGC